rnacentral:rRNA from 2 species
GGAAAGAUGAAAAGAACUUUGAAAAGAGAGUUAAACAGUACGUGAAAUUGUUGAAAGGGAAACGAUUGAAGUCAGUCAUACUAACGGGAAAUCAACCUUUUGAGCUUUGUCUCGUGGGUUCGAAGUGUUUUAAACGCCCUCGGGUUCGCGAGAUUGGGAUCUUCUGGUGUACUUUCUCGUACGGUUAGUCAACAUCGGUUCUGAAUGUCAUAAAAUGACUGGAGGAAUGUAGCUUCGAACUCGUAUCGAAGUGUUAUAGCCUUUGGUAGAUGUGAUGUUUGAGACCGAGGAUUGCAACGGAUACCCUUCAUGGGCUAUUCGUCUGAUCUCUGAUCCGUUGCCUUGACGUUGAAAGCUUGCUUACGAUGUUAGGGUAUUACGGUCAAAAGGUUAGAACGGAUUAAAUUCGUUAAGGAUGUUGACGUAAUGACUUUAAACGACCCGUCUUGAAACACGGACCA